UAUGAUGGCAUUAUAGAAAAGUUCUCCUUU
rnacentral:piRNA from 1 species